GCCGCCGUAGCACAAAGGUAGUGCGUUGCCUUCCUAAAUUUCGCUCGCAAUUAGUCAGGCAAAGGUUGUGGGUUCGAUCCCCAUCGGCGGUU